rnacentral:misc_RNA from 1 species
CCCUUGUUGCGAGCAGAUGCUCGACCAAUGAAAGAUGAAUGGAAAAUCAAACCAUAUUUUGGUGUGUUUCCUCGUGUUUUCAAUGCCCUGAACAGUGCUUUCUCUGCACCAAGAAUCUGAAGGGUAGAAGAAGGGCACUUAGCCAAAUUUGUAAGACUACCAGCGUGGGAAAUCAAACGAGCCCCAACAACUUCACCAAUCAAGGAGGCCAAAUUAGGCGCUAUGUCAUUCAUUUUAGUAACCAGAUAUUCAUAGAGCUUUUUCCUAUACUCAGAGAGAUCCAUUACCCUCUGAGCAAACUGUUGGACAUUAAUUAAGUCAAUCGGGGACAAAUCCUGUCCCAUUGAUGCCUUGGCAGCUUCUACAACCUCCUUUGCCCUAUCUUCAUCUCCAAGUAUGUCUGUUAAUUCAGGAAUUUUGUCUUCAGACAACUUUGCCUUGUCAUCUAUAAACUUGGCAAGUUUUGCAUAGAGAUAGUUGUCAUUGACAAUCUUCACUAAUUCAGGGAAAUGCCAAGAGUACCAUUCUCUGACUCUCAUAGAGAAGGAAUUGAUAUCCUUAUCAAGAGUAUCAAGGAGGAAAAUUGCUUGAAUAACCAUAUUGUCAACUCGGUUGACAUUGAACUUCACUUUUGCCCUGCUGUAACUGUGCCCCAGACCAAGUUGGGCUUUCUCCAAAUCACCAGGCUUUAGAUCUUUGAUGAACCUUUCAAAAUGAAGUCGCACACCACGAAGAAGCUCAAGAACAAAUUCAUUGCUUUGGCAAGGUAUUUUUGUCACUUCAAAGAUAUGUGACCCCAACUUAGGCUCAGCAACUGCUAAACUAAACUUUGUCUUCUUACCUUCCUUCACUUUUGGGAGAUUAAGUUCUAAAAAGCUCCUCAACUCGUCCGUCAUAAGCCCUUCAGAAACUGAGUUACACUGAUUCAGAGCGUCUAAAGAUGACUCAAAGGGAUGAAAAGCAGUUAGCUGAACCACUUUACCAAAACGAUUGAGAUNGCGAACAGCGUCCGUGUUCUGCCCAAUUUCAUCAAGACCAUUAGCGAGAAAGAGACUGUAACCAGAAGCCGACUCAUAUAAUAAAUACAGAGUCAUGGUUGAAAUUUA